UACAGAGGUCUCAAGCGUUGUUCGGAUUCAUUGGGCGUAAAGGGUGCGUAGGCGGCGCGGUAAGUCGGGUGUGAAAUCUCGGAGCUUAACUCCGAAACUGCAUUCGAUACUGCCGUGCUUGAGGACUGGAGAGGAGACUGGAAUUUACGGUGUAGCGGUGAAAUGCGUAGAUAUCGUAAGGAAGACCAGUGGCGAAGGCGGGUCUCUGGACAGUUCCUGACGCUGGAGGCACGAAGGCCAGGGGAGCAAACGGG
rnacentral:rRNA from 1 species